AUUGAACGCUGGCGGUAUGCUUAAGACAUGCAAGUCGAACGGUAACAGGUUAAGCUGACGAGUGGCGGACGAGUGAGUAACGCGUGGGAAUCUACCUUGUAGUGGGGGAUAAGCCAGGGAAACUUGGACUAAUACCGCAUACGCCCUAAGGGGGAAAGGCGCAAGUCGCUAUAAGAUGAGCCCGCGUCUGAUUAGGUAGUUGGUGGGGUAAAGGCCUACCAAGCCGACGAUCAGUAGCUGGUCUGAGAGGAUGAUCAGCCACGUCGGGACUGAGACACGGCCCGGACUCCUACGGGAGGCAGCAGUCGGGAAUAUUGGACAAUGGGGGAAACCCUGAUCCAGCAAUACCGCGUGUGUGAAGAAGGCCUGCGGGUUGUAAAGCACUUUCAGUUGGGAAGAUAAUGACGUUACCAACAGAAGAAGCACCGGCUAACUCCGUGCCAGCAGCCGCGGUAAGGCACGACUGU
rnacentral:rRNA from 1 species